rnacentral:lncRNA from 1 species
AAUGGAAACAGGAGAGGAAGAAUGUCCUAGUGAUGUUUACAAACUAAAUGAUUGGGAGGAUGGAGAAGACAUUAACAGGACUGGCCCAGCUAGGAGGGAGAGAUAUUGAGCAAGAGGUAGAUGGGGCAAUAAUAAGGUAGAUUUGGGAGAUAUCAAAUGAGGAGUUUGGUAGUGCCCACAUGGAAUUGACCAGCAGGCAGUAGGAAAAAUAGGACAUGACUUAAGAGAGAAGAGCAGUCUAAAAAUCUAGCAAUAAUCACAUAUAGAUGGUUAUUAAAGUAACUCAAUUAGGCAUAAUCACUUUGGAGAGUGUUGAGAAAGAAGAAAUUCCAGGAAAAAUUAACCCACAUUUAGGUGUUGGAUCAAGAAAAAACAGCCAGAGGAAAAGACAGAGGGAAGGCAGAGGGUACGGGAGAUUGCUAUUGCUGUGUAAUACAUUACCACAAAUGUAGUGGCUUAAAGCCACAGAAAUUUAUUGUCUCACCAUUUUCAUGGGCUGGAAUAUUUAGGCUGGAACAUGGCAUAUUUUAGCUGGGGUCCUCAGCUAAAGGUCCUGGAAGGCUGAAAUCAAGGUGUCAGUUGACUGUGCUCUUAUCUGGAGGCUUGCUUGACUAGGGAAAUACCCAGUUCCGAGCUGUCUCCUGUUGGCAGAAUCUGUUUCCUUGUGAUUGUAGGACUGGGGCACCCAUUAUCUUUCGGCUACUGCGCAGCGUUCAUUCUCAGCUCCUAGAAGCUGCUCUCAGGUCUCCGCCACAUGGCUAUCUCUUGAAGCCCUCUCACAACUUGAGAGCUUUCUCCUUCAUGGCCAGCAGUAGAAUUUCUUUUAGGCUUUGAAUUAUUUCUUCCUUUAGGAAGAAAAAAAAGCCUCAGCCCCUUAAAAUGGCUCACCUGAAUAGGUCAGGCCCACCCAAGAUAAUUUCCCUUUUGAUUAACUCAAAGUCAAUUGAUUUUGGCAUCCUAAUUACAUCCGAGAAAUCCCCUUACCUUUGUUGUAUAACAUAACCUAGUCACAGAAGUGUACUCCGUCUUACCCAAGUGUUGCCCAUACUUAAGAGGGAGGAAUUAUAUGGGUUACAUAUACCAGAGGCAAGAAUCUUGAGGGACAUCUCAGAAGUCUGCUGACCAAAAGUCGUAGAGAGCACUGUCUAGUAAAGCAAUUUAAUUGAACAUGCUACUGCAUGCCAAGAGAUGUAGGUAUGAGGAAGAGCAGUCCUUACUUCUCGAAGCCAAAAUUCUGAUGGCAAUGACAGAGCCUAGGAAGUAGAAAAUUGUGAUGAUCAAACGGUGAAUAAUUUGUAAUGUUCUAGAGAGGGUGUUGACUAAGGAGAAAUGGGAGUUGGAUUUAGAUUUUAGGGUUUUUGUAGUGCUUUCUGUAGAAUGGUAGGGGUUGGAGUCAGGUUUUGAGCUAUAAGGGAAUGAAUGAAUGUGAGCAGUGAUAAAUAGAUGCAUAUGUAGAAGAGUCUAACAUUUUUUACAGGGAGUUUACAAAGUAGAGACUAUUUAUCAUUUUUAAUCUUUAGUAUGGUCUAGACCUAAGAAUGUUUGUAGCAGUAGGGAGGGAAUUCGUGGGAAGGGGAAAAUGAACAUGAUAUCAUCCGUCACUGCUUAAACCGUCCUAGGACUUUGGGAGACUUUAGAGCAAUGGAGAUCUUUCUCUUCUUUCAAUUGUAUUUUGCCCAUUUAAUACUUCCAUGGCAAUUAUUGUAUGCCAGGCCUUAUUUGCAAGCACUUGGCAAGUAUUCACUCACUUAAUUUUUACAAUCAUCAUGUGAGUCAGGUUCUAUUUUAUUCCUGCUGAAAGACUCAUAACUAGUCCAAGGUCAAUGAGCUUAUAAGUGGUAGAGUUGAGAUUCAAAUCCAGGAAGUCUGGCUCUGGAGCCCAGGCUCUUGACCAUUGCAUUAAUACAAAUGCUCUUUUCUACAUGGUUCUGUUGGUCAUGACUUGUGUGAGGCCUUGUGACACCCCUUGUAUUGUUAUUGCUGUGCACAUAAAUUCUCUGCAUAUUACAUAUCAAUUCCCCAGCCAGGUGGUGAGCUGCUCAGAGACAAGGACAUAUUUCCAUAACACUUUUCCUUCUUCAUGGCAUCUUAUAUGGGAUGGCUAUCAAUAAAUAUAUAUUGAUUUGAUUUAAGCUGGGAUCCUAUCAUUUACUUUACUUCCUCAUUUCCUUUAAUCUCUAUUGAUUAUAAAAUUAAUUGGGUGGUGUGUAAUUCUGAUUUAACUACUUAGCCUGUAACUAUAAUUUUUAUGACUUUUAACAUCAUGAUAAAUCUGUGACCUUUUUGAGGAGUUUCUUGCUUUAUAAAAUUUUUCACUUUUAAAAAGUGGAUGAAUACAUCAUAGUUCUGAGAACUAUUUUCUAUAAGGAAAAAAGGGAUGCUUCCCUGUUGGCCCUUUGGGUUGUGUUAAAAUCUUCAUUUUCUUUUUUUAACUGCUAGGUUCAGGGGUACAUGUGCAGGUUGGCUAUAUAGUUAAAUUGUGUAUCAUAAGGGUUUAGUGUACAGAUUACUUCACCAUCCAGGUAAUGAUUUCACAUUUGAAUGAUGGAGGCCCAGGGUGGGAGAGAAUCAUGGAGUUGAGUAGAAUUUACUGAACAUUGGAGAGAAAGAUCAUCUUUGGCAGUGGUCUUGGCUUUAUCUCCUUCUGGUUUUUAAUUUUUGUCUUUGUAAAGAAUUAAACAAAAUCAUUGCUUCUCUAUUAGUGCCAACCACAGUUCAUAAUUGAGCCAAGUGGCCAUUUCCAUCUGAAUAGUCAGCCCUGUAUUCACUUCCACUGCAGGAUGACAUUUCCCAUCCCCUCCUGUAGGAGGGUGCUUCAGAUAGUUGCAGUGGGUUCCUGAUAGGGAUGUGUUGCAACCAUCCUCCCUUGAUCCAUGUGUUUCUACCACCUAGGAAGGCACGUUCAGCUAAUGUGGUUUUUACUUGCCUACCUGUGUCUCAGAAAGGCUCCCAAUUUGCCCCACGCUUAUUGCAAAAGUAUGUGCCAUAAUGUUAAAGGGAAGAUAGGAUUAAAAUCCCUUUUUGAUUUAUUAAUCCAUGCAGAAGGUGACUACUGAUAAAAACUUCAGAGCCUGUGGAUCAGUUAUUUUUGUUUGAUCAUCUAUAUGCACUACAGAUAAAGAAAACAAACCUCAUUGUUAGAAAUGACACCCCACAAUGGGGGUUGGAUUUUAUAGCAUUUUUUUUUCUUUUCACAAUGCUACAUUAAAAGUUGCUCUUCUAUGUUCUUCUUCAAAGCACUUGUACCUGAGGUAAGCAUCAAGAUAUUUAUCCCCUGCUGACUCUUCAGCUACAUUUGAUCAACAACAAAGAGAAGACAGCUAAUUUUAUCUUUCUUCCAUGUAUUUUGGGCAUGUUUGUGUGUGUGUGGGUGUGAAAUGCACAAUGCAUGUGUGAGUGAGUGUGUGGAGUGCAUCAGAGCACAAGAGAUUGUGACUGAUUGGAAACCAAAGCUUUAGGAUGUAGAAGUUUAAAGAUGACCAGACAGGACAGAGUGGAGAUGCAUUUCUGACUUUAGCUUUGUAAGCUCUUCAAGAAAUACAUUUUGUUUACUUUUGUUUCUCUUUGAAAAGCAGUCUUUAUCUCCCUGUAUCUAAGAGCUUUGAGAUGUAUGUGAGUUCAUUUUCUAAUAAUCUCAAAACAUGUUCUCCGAUAUUAGCCAGUAUUUUCCCCAGACUGCUCUCUGUAUUGAGACGCAGGGUAGUCUAGUGGCUAAGAGCACUGACCUUCUGUUCAAACCUUGGCUUACAGCUGUGUAACUUUGGGCCAAGUGAUUUAACCUCUCUGAACUUCAGCGUUCUCAUCAGUAAAAUCAGUGUUCUCAUCAGUAAAAUAAAAGUAGUAAUCACCAUUGUAGGGAUAUUAUAGGGUUAAAGGAGUUAAUGUUUUCAAAGUGCUUGGAAUAAAGACCUGCUACACAAAUGGUUCCAUGUAAGUGUUUACCUUUAUCACUAUAGUUACUGUAGUACAAUUAUAAUCUAGGAUAAAAGCAGAAAGAAGUACAACAUAAAUUGUUAUACUAUCAGUGUUUUAGUAGCUGUAUUACUUUUGGGAAAGAAUGAAGAGAAAAGGUGGGGGAAAUGAUUUUGUUAUGGUAUUAGGAAAACUACACUUAAAAAAUUGAAACAAAUAUUUGCUGCAAGAAGUUAGCUAGGGGCACUGUAUUUCCUCAUCCUGCCCUGAAAAGCCACAUUAGUGUGGUAGUUUCAGGUGUGCUAAUGGUCAGCUGCAUUACUUAGCUGCACCAGGACUGGUAGAAGGAGUUGGGGUGAGUAGCUUUAACAAUUUUUGAAUAUUAUUGCGCCAUUGCCUUAAAUGCCUGAGAAGUAUGUUAGACCUUAAUACAUAAGAAAUUAGAAAAUGUCAUUCUUAAACUUUAAGAAUUAUUAGGGGAAACAUUACUAAACAUUUAGUUUAGGCUGUUCUUUAAACACAUCAUCUCUAUGAAGUCUAAGAUAUCUCAUUCAUAUCAAUCAGAAAAAAACCUCACUAAUUUUCACAUAUUCUCCUGAUAAUUAUAUAAGCAUGCUUUAGACAAGCUGUUGAGAAAGCACUGUUUCUCACGCUCUGUUUUUGACUGGGUAUGUUGGUUAUAAUGUUUUAUGUCAUACUCAGAAAACCCAUUGUAGAAAGUUCAACUGUGAAAGGAAUUUGUUUUGGAUCAUUAAAAAGUCUGAAUGUAAUGUGGGCUUCAGGGUUGGUUGAUUCACCAGUGCAGUGAAAUCUGAAUUCUCUUUGUCUCUCUACUCUACCAUCUAUACUCUACUCUACUCAAGGACCUGAAUUCUGUCUCUCUACUCUACCAUCUAUAGUGCUUAAUUCACUUGAGGCUGGUCCCUCGCUUUGCCAUGAGAGGCUGCUGGUGGCAAUUGAGGCUGCCUGUUCCGUUGGGUAUGUCUAGGGGAAUGAGAACUUCUAUAACCAUAUUCUGUCCCAUUCUAAUAUUUCUUUUUAAUAUUUGGAGUUUGUGAUAGAAUUUUCAUUACAAAAAGAUCACCCAGGCUGCUAUUUGUGGAAGAGAUUAGGGGAGAAGAGUGGUGUGUCCCAGAGACUUAAGUCUUUUUUCUCCAUUACGAAAUGAAAGCCAUUUUUAUGUCUAACACCUCACUCGGGAAAGGCAUGCCAGCUUCAAUCUUAGUUACUGCAACUGUCUUUUUAAGUUACCCUUGAGUUUAUGUAAAUCAGAAUUGAUUGUCCUUCAACAAUAGCAAUAACAACAACAAAAAAGAAUGUUGUAAAGAACAAGAAAAUAUUGAUUCUUUUUAGGUAUGUAAAAUGUGAUAAGGUAUGAGAAGAGCUUCAAAAACCUUAGACUAGUCAUGAAAGGAAAAAGCAUUGAAGUCUAUGCCCUGUUUGGGUACACAUAGACACUUUGUGUCCAUGCUGCUUGAUUCCAAGCAUUGCAGGGCUGGCUAUACAACUGAUUCUUUUGCACAACUGCUUAUACCUAACAGCUUUAUUGGCUGUUCUCACCUUAUGUGUCACACUUCUGUGUGCAAAUCUUUGGAAUAUUUCCAUAUGACUCUCCAGUAUUUGGACUUUGGGACAUACGAUAAAGCAAACAUUUGAAACCUGGAGUCAUAUGGGGGCACUCAAAAAAUCUGCUGCUUAUAAGCAAGGAUAACCAGGCUGAGAUUUUGAUGGACAAAAUUGACAGCUGGUCAGAAAUUUUAAAAUGCAGAGGCAUUUAAGAUGUCAGAAUAUGCCCUCACACUGCCUAAGAGCUCUCCAAUAUGUCCUUUUAGCUCACCCUCUAAAAAUCAAUCUCUAAUCUUUUACCUUUGCCUCUACAACCUUGCUGCAGGCUGAUAGCGCCUUGCCAGUGGAGUUUUGCAAUGGCCCCUGAACAAGUCUCUCUGCUUCCGUUGGAAGUAUGCAUUUUCCAUACUCAUCACAUACAUACCACAUUCUAUACAACAAAAGCUGUAUUUUCCCAAUUCUCAACAUAAAAAUAAUAGAACAGAAUGUCCUGUUUCAAGUUUUCCACCUUAAUAUUUUCUUAACAAGAAAAGCAAAUUGAUAUUAAUAGGGAAAAAUUGGAGAAAGUUAAGGUCAAACCUUUAAUUUUUCUGGGUGGUACUGAGAUUUUAUUAUAAUAAUGCUUUAUGUAAUAAAUAUCAUAAUACUUCUAUAGUAUUAAAUGGAAUACCUAACAAAAUAAAAUAAUACUUUAUAGCAUAAUUGCAUAUAUCAGCAUCAUGAUUUUCUCCUAGUAAAAAUGUUUUCAGUUCAUGGAUGAAAUUUAAUGUCAGUUUUUAGCAGUGUUUGGAAAAAUAAUUAAAAUUUCUGGGUCUCACCAUCUGAAAUGAUCUGAAAACAUCUGUGCUAUUGGAAUUGAACCCAAGUAUGCUAAAAUGUUUAUCGAUUGAACUAAAUUUCAAUCGAUAAACAUGCGAGUCUGUGAGCUGGAAGUGCCUUUUCUAGGAUGGGGUUCAGAAUCCAGGGAGGGAAUGAGAUUAGAUACAGUAAAUCAGUGAAACCAGACCAAACCUGGCAGCUAAACAGUUGAAGUGGAGCAAAACAGAAUGUGGAGUUAAAGCAGCAGAAGUCAAGCCAUAAAGCAAAGAUGGAUAGAGGCAGUAGAAAUAAAUGGGUCCCAAACCACUGAGCAAUAUUUCCAAAAUGCCAAUGAAGAAAAGCAGUUUUUCUAGCCAUCUCAUCAAAACUGUCUUCGGCCAAAGCUUUAUUCUCUCUUUAGAAAAAAAAAAAAAAAAAGUAGUGGGAGAAAUCUUAGUUCUUUACAGAGGUAAUUGUGAUAACUGGUGAGGAGGAGAUAAAGACGAGAAAGUUAGAAUUUGAAAGCAAGAGAGGCCAGGAAGAGAAAUGAUGGUAAUACGAUGUGGGGUGGAGAGAUGGAAGGCAAGCCAGAAACAAAGAUGUAUGAAAGCAUGUAUUUUCCUAAACAGACUUUCAUUAUGUGUGUUGGACAGUAAGCAAAUGCAAACACUGAGCUAGGUGAAGCAGCAUUUAUAACACACAUGACAAACCAAUACUUAAACCAUUUAAAUACCAAGACACUCCAUGCAAGUUUUUUGAAAGUGAACCACAUGAAAACUGGGCAAUGAUUAUGAAUGAGCAGUUUGCCAGAGAGAAAUAGCCAGUAAAAAGGAAAAGUUAAUCUCAGAGAAUUGCUAAGUAAAAUAAGAUAGAUUUUUUUCCCCUGGGAUGUAGGCACAACUUAAUAAUAUAUGACAUCCAAUGCUGUUAGAAUGUGGAGAAAUGCUAGGAGCUAUAUAUAUUGCUUAGCAGUUUGGCUGUAUCAUUUUAAAUAAAAAAAAUACACAUAGCCUUUAACACAGUAAUCUCUUUGUGAAUUAUUCUGUAUAGAUAAAAAUAUAUAUACAAAAUUAUUUAUUGCAGCAUUGUUCACAGUGGCAAAAAAAUGAAAACAAAGAAUUUUGAUCACUUGAGACUAGUUGAAUGAACUGUGUUAUACAUGCUAUGGAUGAUUAUUAGGUCAUUAAGAAUUAGAAUGUAUAUCUGCUAUGGAUGAUUGCACAUGAUAUAUUGUAAAGUUAGCAAAGCAAGUUACAGGAAAUAUGCAAAGCAUGAUGGCCUUCAGUAAAAAAGCCUUUAUAUUUGUGAUUUUAGGUGUAUAUUUACGCACAAUGAAAGGUAUUCAAUUAAAACACAUCAGACUUAACAUUUUGAGUGGUCUGGGAAGAGAGAAUAAGAAAUAAAGCAAGAUUCAGAAUUGUCUAGACCCCUUGACCCAGAACCUUUAGUUAUGUACAUUUAUAAGGACUAGAAGGAUGUAGAAUAGACUUUUGACAUCUGUAGUGGGAUUAUGAAUGGUUUUAUCUUUGUUUAUUUCAUUUUUUGGUCUUUGUUUUUCUAAAAUUGACAUGAAUUCUCUAAGUGGUAAAAGCCAAAUUUAUUUCAAAACGAAGAAAAAGUAUAGAUGAUAUUAUGCCCAUUUUACCCAUUAAGAAACUGAACCUAAUUGAUACCUUUUUAAAGAUUCCAGCUAGUAAAUAGCAGAGAUGUGCUUGAAGCCCUUAGGUUUCAUCAAAGUGACAGCAACUUAUAGAUCAAUAAGAAAAGACAAUUAAAAGUAAGAAAUUAGAGAAAGACGGAACUCUUAGCAAAAAGAAUACUGGAGGAAAAUACACACCACACAUGUGCUAAUGGAAAUGUCAGCCAAGAGCAAAAGUCAAUGAGCCCACCUCACCCCUAGCAUUAAACUGCAUUGAGAAUUGUUAGAAACAAGGGCAUGUUGGAGCCCCUUGAUUUGUAACAGAGUGAAAAGCUUUCAGAAAUGUAAAAAACAAUUAUUUUAUUUGGGGCUUACAGUGGUGGUGGGAGGAAGCAGAGAGACACAGAAAGUGCCAACUCUUGCCCUUGUUUAACAUUUGGCAAAUUAGAAAAUGUAAUGACUAAGGAAACAAGCACAUUUCAAAUAAUAACUGAGGCAAGAUGAAGAAAGUACUAGCUAAGAAUGAUAGAGAGGUGAGUGUUGACGACACUUGCUAAGGCAUGUGCUAUACGGCUAUUAAAUCACAACCCUCACGAAACUUUAUGAGACGGGCACUGUUGUGCAAAUGAGAAAACAGCAGAAGUACUGGAAAAUGUAGUAACUUGUCUAAGAUGACUUGGCCAGUAAGUGGUAGAUAUGAUUUGAGGCACACUUGCCUGACUGCACGGCACAUGUUCCAAACCACUGUGCUCUGCUGUUACUGGGUAGAAGGGACCAUGAAAAUCUCUUUCUAGUUGUGAAGAUGAUGAAGGUCAUUUGGGAUAGGUACUUCCCAUUCGGGCUAAAAAAGGCAGAACCAGAUUGCUUGUAAGACCUUGUAAUUCUAUAUGUUUUCAGAUCCUUUCUUGUGUAUACAGGAAUCUAAAGAUGCACAUAUGUGGAGUUGGGCUAUUAUAGCACAUUUAUUUGCAUCAUAAUAUGCUAUCUAAUGUUCAGCAGCUUGAUUUUUUCCACUUCAUAUGUCAUAGAUGUCUUUCCAUAUCAGUACAUGUAGACAUUCAAUAUAUUUUUUUUUGACAGUCUCACUUUGUUCCCCAUGCUGGAGUGCAGUAGCAUGAAUACUAGAUGUUGCAUAAUAUUCCAUCACACACAAUUGUUAGUGGAUUUACUUUUUUCUCAUUACUUUGCUAGACUAAGCAAAUAAGAAUGAAGAAGGAUUUAAUGUCUGCUGCCAGCUCUGCUCCUCUACUAAAAAAAAAAAAAAAAAAAAAAGUUGGGAGGGAUGUUAAUUAGUUGACUUUCAGUUAACUGUAGGAAGAGUUAGGUUCAAUACCAUUUAAGAAAA